GAAAUGCGAUAAGUAGUGUGAAUUGCAGAAUUCAGUGAAUCAUCGUAUCUUUGAACGCACAUUGCGCCCCUUGGUAUUCCAUGGGGCAUGCCUGUUCGAGCGUCAUUUGUACCCUCAAGCUCUGCUUGGUGUUGGGUGUUUGUCCCGUCUCCGCGCGUGGACUCGCCCCAAAGUGAUUGGCAGCCGGCGUACUGGUCCCCGAGCGCAGCACAUGUCGCGCAAACGAGUGCCUUGGUACGGCGGCGUCCAUAAGCCCCUCUCUCACGCUCUUGACCUCGGAUCAGGUAGGGAUACCCGCUGAACUUAAGC
rnacentral:misc_RNA from 1 species